rnacentral:rRNA from 1 species
AGUCGAGCGGUAACAUGAACUAGCUUGCUAGUUUGAUGACGAGCGGCGGACGGGUGAGUAAUGCUUAGGAACUUGCCUCUUGGAGGGGGACAACAGUUGGAAACGACUGCUAAUACCGCAUGAUGUCGCAAGACCAAAGGGGGCUUCGGCUCCUGCCAAGAGAGAGGCCUAAGUGAGAUUAGCUAGUUGGUGGGGUAAAGGCUCACCAAGGCGACGAUCUCUAGCUGUUCUGAGAGGAAGAUCAGCCACACUGGGACUGAGACACGGCCCAGACUCCUACGGGAGGCAGCAGUGGGGAAUAUUGGACAAUGGGCGCAAGCCUGAUCCAGCCAUGCCGCGUGUGUGAAGAAGGCCUUCGGGUUGUAAAGCACUUUCAGUGGUGAGGAAAGGUUGGUGGUUAAUACCCAUCAGCUGUGACGUUAGCCACAGAAGAAGCACCGGCUAACUCCGUGCCAGCAGCCGCGGUAAUACGGAGGGUGCGAGCGUUAAUCGGAAUUACUGGGCGUAAAGCGCACGCAGGCGGAUUGUUAAGCUAGAUGUGAAAGCCCCGGGCUCAACCUGGGAAUUGCAUUUAGAACUGGCAGUCUAGAGUCUUGGAGAGGGGGGUGGA